UGGACUGAGAAUAGUCCACCAACCAGAAAUAUCCAGCCAAUAGUGUCCUGUGGGCAGCAUCCUUUGACAACUGAUGAAGGACUAGAGGAUGACCAACACAAUCUGUGCAGCAUCAGAUGAGCUAUCUCUGACUUUACAUCUACAAAGUGGACUGACAAGGUGGAGAAUACAGAGACCCCUUAAUGGACUUCUCGACUUUUUUCAUUUUUUGUUCAUUCACUUGAAUUGAUUUAUAAUACUAGUAAUAAUAAACAUUUAUUAAAUCGA